rnacentral:lncRNA from 1 species
ACCGCAGACGAGCUCGCGCCCGCGCCGCUCAGAUCUCCCAGCUGGACAUUGGAAAUAGCUUUUGAUGGUUUAGGGCCUCUUUCAUUUGACCCCAGAAAUGUGAUUAUGUCCUGAGGCCUAUUGAGUUGAAAACGAAUAUUCUCCUCAACAGAAAGAUAAGAAAUGAGCUUUGACUGUUAGUCACCUGGAUGAAGAGCCCUGAGUUUAGCUCGUCAGAGUCCUGUAACCUGCAAAGACCCUCUGGUUGUACAAGGAUCGAUCGAUUGAAGUAAGGCAUAAUUACUUUAAUUAGAAUGCAGGACUUUUACUCUUGAAUCAGGUUUUAAUAAGGUGACUUGGCAUAACUCUAUAAAGUGCCAAUAGCUGCUAAUUUUGGAAAAGCAGAAGAAUGUAAGCAUCAUUUUAUGGUAAAACCUAUGUAUUUCAAUAUCUAUUCAUCUUUUAUUUCAUGAAUUUGAGUCCAUUUUCUUUGGAUAGUGUUAUCUAAUUUCUGCGUGGCUGCUGAAAUUGGUACAAUUUCCUUGCCUUCGUGUUAUCAAUUGAUUUUUAUACAAUUGUAAUUUUAUGGUAAGUAAUCAAAUUAGCUAGUCUCUUUUCUUUUUUGCAGUUUAGGUUGACACACUAUUUUAUUUUAAAAUUAUAGCAAUGCAGUUUGUGCCAUGAUAUAGGACGGUUUUGCAUUUCUUAUUUAUUCCAAGUUUACAUAGGUCUAAUUACCUUUUGGAUCAUCUGUCUGUAUAAGGCCACACAGACUGUGAACUUCCAUUUAGGCAUUAGAGGUUGAAGACAUGCUUUAAAAAUAGCUUAUAGUUCUUCCUGGAACACUCCAGUUUUGAGCAGAUGAUGCCAGUAUGUGACUGAAAUACUUUUUUCUGUAGAGCACUACAUGCAAUCGAUGUUCCAAUGCUGGUUUAGGCUUACUGUGCAUAAAAGUUUACAUGUCACGGAAAAUGAAAGGUCUAAACAACGGCACAGAACCAAGAGCUAGGAAAUCUGAGCAGACCCAGCAUGGCCACAAAUACAUUAGAAACUUGGAUGAAUCCCUUAUCCUUCUGAGUAUUCCCUUGGUUCUGAAAUGAAGGCGUUAGGUGAACCAAGGAAAGGCUGGCAAAUUCUUGUGACUUGAAAGUCAAAUAUAUAAUGUAUGAAUUGUAUGAAGUGGUUGGGUAUGAGACAGUAGGAAAUGGUGAGCUCGUGGGGAAAGAUUCUGUCCUCCUUCUAAAGCCAUUUGGAGUCCAGAAUAUUAAAUCUGGGCAAAGAAAUAAACUGUAUGGGGUGAGGAAGGGGAAAGCAGAAGGAUGACAGAAUGAACUUGGCUAUUGGAUUGAAUAAAUCCUAAAGUCAUUUCCAACUCAAUAUGUUUAUAAAAUUUUGUUACUAUGUAAAACACAAAGUUGCCUAGGGCCUGUAGAGCUCUCUGUGUGUUCCUUUUUAAGUAAUUAAAAGUAAAUAAGUAAAAUAAAAUUAAAUAAUUUGGGGUUUGAAUUUCUCUUUGAAUUGUACAUUAUAAUUGGAGGGAAAAGUGAUUUUGUGAUCAUAAAUUACUUAAGUAACUCAUUAGUUUAAUAUUUUAUUCUGAGAGUAUUUUUUUUCCUUUAAUUCUCUGGAAUGAGAACAUUGACUUUAGAGUUAUACUCCAAGAAAAAAAACCUAUCCUGUAAAUUACCAGUUAACAGCUUCUUUCUUAAUGGGUAUUUUCAGUAAAAAAUCAUGUGAAUAACUGAAGGAGUGUCAUACCACCUGUUUAGAACUUGUUUUAUGAUUCUUUGAGUACUUAAAGGUCAUUUCUUUUGAUUAAUAUUUAAAGUAAUAUUUUAAAAUAUAUUAUUUUCAUGAAAAAAUGAUAGUUGUAGUUUAAAUAAGUAUAUAUGGUAAUGUAAUUUUAUAAGCCUCACUAGUUUUGUUUUAAAAUUUUUUCCUUUUUACAGCAGUGACAUAUAUUUAUUUCUUUUUAUCAGAUGUUACUGCCUCUUCAACCCAUAUUUUGGUUGAGAAAAUGAGUACAUUUUAUUAGAUGCUAAUGAUAAUUAGGGUAUAAGCCUAGAAGAAGGUGGAAAGUGGGUCAAGUCAAUAUAUUCUGGGAGUCUUAUCUAUCCUCUCUGGCUCAAUUCAAAUCAGAAUGUAUGUCUACAAGAAAAUUGAACUCAUGAUUGUAGGUAGCUAUGUCUGUUAUCCCAAUGAUGAAGGGAGAAUUAAAGGCACUGGGAUUUUUUAUGCCUUUAUUUAGGCCCUCUCAGUAGCUUUUUCUUUCUUUGUUCCUUGUAUAUUUUUUUAUUUCAUGAUUAUAUACAUUUUUAAAAUAUUCAGGUUACUUCAUGUAUGAUCAAUUUCAGAAUGGAUGUAUUUUGUGAAGAAUUCUAGCUCUUUUGAAAAUUUUUUCACAUGUUGGUAAAAACUGUUACUGCCUUAAAGUGUAUAAUUUUGAAAUCAUGUUUUAAGAGGUGUUUGAUACCAAAUGCAAGUUUCUGUGCUGGAUGCUCAUUGAGGUUAAACAAACUGAAAUGUUGCAGUUUGAAACAGAAAAAGUUUUAUGGCAGAGCCAUGCAGGGAGAACUGGUGUUCUGUGUGCAAAAAAACCCGGAUCUCCUUGAAGUCCUUCAGCAAAGCAAUUUUUUAAAAGCCAGGUUGGGGGUGGGGUGUGAGGUGGGGCUCUCAAUAUAUGUGAUCAUUUCCUGCACUUUUCUCUACUUGUUUAAUGGUGAUCAAUCCUUAGGCACCAGAACAUUUGGGGGCCAUUAAUUUCUUCCAUUUGGUGGUGAUUUUAUCAUCUGAAGAACUCAGGAAAUAUGCAUGAGAUACUACUAUCUGGGUACUUCAGAGAGGAGCACCAGUAGAGGAUAUAGAGGAUACAGCGGAGGAUAUGGAGGAGGCCCUUGGAAGGCCAUAUGGGUCCUGCUCGGUUACACUUUCACAUUAGAUGUUAUAGUCCAGCCAUGUUGUAAUGUAAUGUGCAUUUCUUUGAUAGCCAAGUCAAAACUGAAGUACUUGGAGGUUAAUGCUCAGACUGAUAGAACUGGUUAGAUCUAGUCCUUCACUGAUGGUCUAUAUCUGAUAUUAACAAAAAUAUCAGCUCUUUUUUCAAAUAUACAUAAUGUCCUCUGAAGGCUCCGCAUAUUUUAGAAAAUAAAAUAAGCAUAUAAGUUAAAAUGUCAGCAGACAUAAUAUAAGGUAAACUGUACAGGGAGGCUUUCUAAUGAUGUUUUCUUAUUGUCUUAUUUUAUAGAAGCAUUUUGUAAAAAGAAAAAUAAAUUGUCAGUGUGAGCAAGCAUUUUUUUUAAUUCUCUUUAAGGAAUAAGUUCAUAUAUGUUUAUCUUUAGUAAUGAAAAGAAUAUAUGGAAAAAUUGAUAUUUAGACAAAAAAAUCACACACAUAUACAUGUAUACAUAUAUAUAUGCAUAUGUGUAUGUAUAUAUAUAUUUGGCUUUUAGAGUAUGUCUAAUCUAUUGCUUGGAUCACUGAUUCUUAACAUGAAAAAAAA